rnacentral:lncRNA from 1 species
UGGCUUUUCUGCUCCUUUCAAAUAGGGGAGCUCCCUUUCUAACAGCUUAGUGUCCCGUCACCUGUAAGUUAGUUUGUUAAAUUGCCUAACUUCAAGGUUUGCGGCACUUAAGUCUUUUUUAUAAGCUAAUGGGCUAGUUUUUGGGAUUAUAGUUUUUGGGAUUCUUUGUAAUAUCUUUCUUGUAAUUUCUCCUAAUUGUAAUAAAGUUGAUUUUUCCCCCAAAUGACUCUCCUUAAGGCAUGUUUAGCUUCCUUCACCCAUGUUAAUUAGUCUCUUGCAACAUCUUUUCUAACCUUCCACAAUCCUUUCCAACCCUCUCAAGUAUUAUGUUCCUUUCGCUUGUGCCGCUCUUUGAUCUUGAGCUUCUUGAGUUGAACUAAGGUAAGUCCCAUAGUCUUGUAGCUCCUUGAAUUGAGUUUGGUUGGAAUCCGUAGUCUUGUAGCUCCUUGGAUUGAGUUUGGCUAGAAUUUGGUGGUAAGCCUGACUUAGUCUUGAGGGAAGGCUAAGUGUCGCAUGGUUCUGCACCAUUUUGGAGCUGUUUGUGUGUUGAUUACAAAAGGGUCGUGACACUGGACGUGGAUUGCCCUUACCACCACCGUUUUUGGUUUUUUUUAUUGGAUCUAGUUUUGUGAUGAUAGGAGGUGGUUUUAUGAGAAGGAGCAUUUUGUUUUCCUAUUGUUUUUCUAUAGAGGUGGCUAGAUCGAAGAGAGAAUUCCUUUAUGGGUGGGUACCUCUAAGGGUUGGUACGUAGCAUAUUGCUUUCAUGGUGACCCUUCAACAUAGAUGGCAUAUGGAGCUCUGAUUGUCACCCUCUCGCGGUGGCAUUUCAUCCGUAACCUCUUUCUUGGGCGGUUCUAAUCCCCCCACCUUGCUCCACCUCAUCCAUGAUGACAUUAGGCUUGGAAGCUCCAUAACUUUGGCUCCAAUCUCACCAUCGAUGAUAGGGAAAGGCUUUUCAAGUUGGGUUUUUUGUUCCCCAUUAUGCUGUUAGCUGCUUGGCUCUAUAGAUAGAGCCUUGCUUUCUUUCACUUGUUGUCUUUUUCCUCCUGUGUUGAUGGUGUGGUCUGUGGUUGCUAGUCUUGGUGUCUAUAUGUCUUUUUCUAGUUGGGAUUUUUGAUGUGGAGUUGUGUUGCAUCUCCGAUGGCUCUAAAUGUUGAUAUCAUUGUACCUAAUGGCUGGUGUUGACAAGCAAUAAAGAGCUUCUUCCAAAAUCUCCAGCUCAGUUAGGGUUUGGGGAUGACAAGCAAAGUUAUGGGUUUGGGAUGGAUGUAAGCGGUGGGUCUUAUUUGGGAGCCUUAUUUCUAUUUUCCAAGCUUGUCUUAUGUUAUUCGCGCUUAAG